GACGAACGCUGGCGGCGUGCCUAAUACAUGCAAGUCGAACGCACUCUCGCUUAGAUUGAAGGUGUUUGCUCCUGAUUGAUGAACAUUUGAGUGAGUGGCGGACGGGUUAGUAACACGUGGGUAACCUGCCCUAAAGGGGGGGAUAACAUUUGGAAACAGAUUCUAAUACCGCGUAAAACCUAACACCGCAUGGUGGAGGGUUGAAAGAUGGUUUCGGCUAUCACGUUAGGAUGGACCCGCGGUGCAUUUGUUAGUUGGUGAGGUAAAGACUGACCAAGACCGUGAUGGAUAGACGACCUCAGUGGCGAAUAGGCCACAUUGGAACUGAGACAGCGCCCAGAGUACUGCGGGACGCAGCAGUCGGGAAUCUUACACAAUGGACGAAAGUCUGAUGGAGCAACGCCGCGUGAGUGACGAAGGCGUUCCGAUCGUAAAACUCUGUUGUUGGAGAAGAAUGUAUCUGAUAGUAACUGAUCAGGUAGUGACGGUAUCCAACAAGAAAGCCACGGCUAACUACGUG
rnacentral:rRNA from 1 species